rnacentral:misc_RNA from 1 species
AAGUCGUAACAAGGUUUCCGUAGGUGAACCUGCGGAAGGAUCAUUAACACGUAUCAAACGUUAAACCCCCCCGUGAAUAUUAAGCGUGCUCUUACAUCCUUGCACAACAGCAAUCUCUGGUAAAUCAUGUCGAACGGUUUGAUUCAGAGACCUCUGGGAUGCUAAAGGUGUAAUCGAGCGCUAGGUUCAGUGGUUUGGUCUUCCCCUCAAACCACUUCAAUGAAUGUCAGUGUCAUUGAAGUGUGAUGGGGAAGUCGAGCCGGCGUCCAAAUCACCAGGCGCAAGCCUCCCUAAAACUACAUGUCAGCGUAGGCCCUUCUGUCGUGGUUGGGCGUAAAAACGAACAACUGUUAACAAUGGAUAUCUUGGUUCUC